rnacentral:rRNA from 1 species
UACGAAGGGUGCAAACGUUGCUCGGAAUUAUUGGGCGUAAAGCGCACGUAGGCGGCUUUGUAAGUCAGUGGUGAAAUAUGGCAGCUCAACUGUCAAGGUGCCAUUGAUACUGCAGAGCUUGAGUACAGAUGAGGUAGGCGGAAUUGACGGUGUAGCGGUGAAAUGCUUAGAUAUCGUCAAGAACACCUAUAGCGAAGGCAGCUUACUAGGCUGUAACUGACGCUGAGGCACGAAAGUGUGGGGAUCAAACAGG